UAAGGACGGAAGAUGUAUGCAGCAAUAUUAAGUCUUUCAGCUUUUUUUGGUUCACAAACAGAUCUAAUUAUAGAAGUAUUAGUUGGGAUAACUAGUGUAAGUUUAAUAUUAUGUAAGUAGUGUUUUGGUAGUUGUGUUAGGCGGCCCGUGUUCGGGUUUUUUUUUCCGUUGUGAAUGAAGUUAGCCUUUCAAAAAAACAUUAUCACACUUCUAUUGGGUCAUCUCCAAUAACUAAACGGUACACAUAUUUAGAAUGAGUUUAAGGGGUAAAAAAUAGGGUUAAUGUAUUUAAACACCUCUAACUAUUGCCAUUUGGGCGCUGACACUCUCAACUUUGACUUUAGUUCACACCACUCCCAACUUGGCACAUUGUUUGUCCUGGCACCCCCUCGUUAAAUAAUCACUAACCUGGUUAGUAAAAUUAGCGUACGUGUCAAUUUAAGCUGAUGUGGCAUGUCCUACGUGUCAUUUAAACUAAUUCAUCAUCUUUAAGCACAACACCCUAACAAUUUGUUAGACGCACCUUGUUAGCCCCAUCCAGCCAACCUUCGUUUCUCGCCAGUCACCACUGUCGCCGGAUCCGGUCACACAUCAACCGGCGGUCGUCUUUAAUCAGCCAUCCUCCCACUACGUCGCCGCCGUCAGACAGAUGUGGUAGGAGACAGAGUUGGAAGUAGAGAAGAAGUUUGGUGGGGUUGUGCAAAUUGAAUGCGCAGAAGGUGGCUUAGGUGGUUCUACACUUGCUGUUGAUGAAUCAUGGUUUUGCUUCAUUAGUGUUUUUUUUUAACUCAAGGAUGUAUAAACAACCCAUAAAAACCAAUUCAAAGUUGAGUCCCAACUGCCCCUCUACAAGGUUAAGAGCAAGGAAGGAGACUUGGAUACAAACAAACAGCUAUAAGGGUGUAAAGAAAUACUGAUAAAAAUAUAAUUUUUGACCUACUUUGUACACAAAUUGUGUGUACGUGUAUAUACCUGUAUGGGUUACAUAAUUGAUUAUAUAUGGGUUUCA